AGUGAACGCUGGCGGUAGGCCUAACACAUGCAAGUCGAACGGCAGCACAGCAGUAGCAAUACUGUGGGUGGCGAGUGGCGGACGGGUGAGGAAUACAUCGGAAUCUACCUUUUCGUGGGGGAUAACGUAGGGAAACUUACGCUAAUACCGCAUACGACCUUAGGGUGAAAGUAGGGGAUCGCAAGACCUUACGCGGAUAGAUGAGCCGAUGUCGGAUUAGCUAGUUGGCGGGGUAAAGGCCCACCAAGGCUACGAUCCGUAGCUGGUCUGAGAGGAUGAUCAGCCACACUGGAACUGAGACACGGUCCAGACUCCUACGGGAGGCAGCAGUGGGGAAUAUUGGACAAUGGGCGCAAGCCUGAUCCAGCCAUACCGCGU
rnacentral:rRNA from 1 species